UUUGUUUCUGAGCAACUGCAACCCCUCCUGUGCCAUCCGUCUAUUUCUUUGAUAAUCGUGUUAAGGAGAGGCACAGGCGCUGGCUGCCUCUGGUGUGGUGCCUUUCGGACGUCAGCCAAAACCCAAACCCGCAGGUGGUCUGGGCUGCGUCAUUUGGUGAACGCAGACAAAACGCUGGAGGAACUCAACAGAAGAGGCAGCAUCUACUGAGGGAAAUGGACGGUCAGUGUCGCGGGCCAAGACCCUUCACUGAAAUGUCAGUUAUUCAUUUCCAUCCAGAGGUUCUGCCUGUCCAGCUGAGUUCCUCCAGCACCUUGUGUGUGUUGUGUCAGAUAUCGAGAAUCUGCAGUCUCCUUUGUGCCUGCUUCAAUUGGUGAUGGAAAAGAUUUUUUUUCACAAUUGUCAGUGAACAUGUCCUCUUCCACCCUCCUUUGUGUGAUCUGACUCCAUCUAUUGAAACGUCUCCCCCUGAUUAUCAUUGACUUCAGUUUUACUUGGGCUACUUGAUACCAAAUGCAGCAAUAGAUAUGAAGAUAAUGACCAUGUUAAGCCAGUUUAAAUCUGUAGAGUGUGACAUUUAAUUAGACAGUCUGGCUUUAUUUCCACCCAGUACUUUGCCCCGCAGGUUUUAAAGUAGAGAUGGAUUUUUACAAAGCCAUGUUCAAUUAAAGGUUUUCCUCUUGAAAGAGCAAAAUCAUUAUUUUAAUUGUCAUAAUCUGAAAAGAAAAAUACAAUCAGAUGGUCUUAGUACAUUCUGAAUAUUAAGACUAAGGAGGCAACUACCUAAUUGGGAAUGAUUCUCUCAUUACAAGGUGGGAGCUUAUGGCGUGAAGCUCCUGGUUCACUGGGUGCAUGCAGGUUCAGUACCAGUCUGAGGCAACAGGGGGCACUCUUGCCUAGUGGCUCUGCGGAGAGUGAGUGGGUUGGAACAGCAGUUCUGUCUUCAGUCUCUAUCUCAGCGGAAGGGAGCCGGCAGACAGAAUUAGCAGAUCUCCCAAGCCCACACGCACCGGCGUGGGGACAGGGGCUCGAGGUCUCCACCGUGUCCCGUCAAACGUAGCAAGGCGAAGGAAAUGACAUUAAACGAUCGUGAAUCUUGAACUCAGUGGAUCGGGCUGCACCUGUGGCAGGCAGGAAGAGGGCAGUUGCUGCCUCGGGCCGAGACUCUUCCGGACAGAUCAGAUGAAAGGUCUCCACCACUGCAUCCUGACCUGCUGAGCUCCUCCAGCUUUCUGCAGGCUGCUGUCCCCUGUGCGUUCAAAAACUGUUUGCAAUCUCAGCGGCCUAAGCCGGGCUCAACUGUGCCUCGUUGAAAUCAUCUUCGGAAUAUUAGCUUUGCGUCAAACAUGGGGCCGUGGAAUAAAAGCCUCUAUCCCUUUGCCCUGCUGUUUGGGAAGGGUAUUGAUACUGAGCGAGAGGUUUACCAGGAUGCUGCCUGGAUUAGAGAGCACGUUGUAUCAGAAACGCUUGAGUGAGCUCGGGCUCUCUCUUUGGAGCGAAGGAGGUUAAGAGCUGUAUAAGAUGCUAAGAGCUCGCGAGAGUAGACAGUGCCUUUCUCCCACAUUGGAAAUGGCUAAUAUGAGAAGGCAGAAUUAUAUCGUGAUUGGAGAUAUGUGUAGAGGAGAUGUCAAAAGGUGUUUUUCUUCACACAGACAGUGAUGAGUGCAUGGAAUGUACGGCAGGGGUGGCGAUAGAGCCAGAUACAUUAGGGGCAUGUGAGAGUCCCUUAGAUAGGCACAUGGAUGAUAGAAAAAUUGAGUUAAUGUAGUAAGAUUAAUCUUGGUUAUAUUAAAGAUUGACACAAGGUUGUGGCCUGCACUGUGCUGUACUAAGUUGUAAGGCCACCAAGGAAAUCCUCGUCAGAAGAGAAUGGCGGCGCCAUAUCACAAUACCAAAUGAUGGCUCAGGUUGGAACGCAAGAGAACAUAACGUCCAAACUGGGAAGCCGAGCAGGAGCUGGCAGAGACAGUAUGCCAUAGGUACAGGUUGGCUCCCUUGAAUCCGUCAUUCAGUGAUCCAGCCCCACCGCUGGUUCAGAGGUGAUUUUCGCCAGCCUAAUUUCAGAUUCCCCGCCUCGCCACGCCAACCCAUUGCCACGGUUUUGGCGAUGUCAUCUGUGGAAUCAGCUGUUGGCAGGGUCUUCACGAGAAGCAAGCCGCUCCUCUGCUUUAACCUUCAUUUAGUUUUGUAACCUGUACUUAUCUGGCCCUGGUGAUGUCUGCAUUGAAUAACGGAAGCACUUCUUGUGGUGCAAAGCGCAAACACCGUUCCUUAUCUGUACAAGAUAAGGUGAUCUAUACAAGAUAACUUCUCUUGCUUUUCAUUUGUCUCUUUUUAAAAAUUUGUCAUCCAACCUGCACUAUUUAUAGAGUGUUUUAAAGGUAGGGAGAGGCGCUCAUGAAAUGAGUUAGAGGUGCCUAUUUAAUCCUAACCUAUCUGCUGCACAGGGCCCAAUCACUCUGGGUUGUGGUGGUCCUCCUGAGGAAGCCGAGCGAGGGGCAGACGUGCUUUGGGCAUCAGCUGGUGCAGCAAGGAGAGCCACCCUCUCCCCGGGACAACGCCCUUAACUCCUGGUGGAGUCCAUUGGGGCGCCGCCAUGACGGGCUUUUUGCACCGAUCUUUUUGGAGACGCUCGUCAGGUGGCAUUUCUGUAGCAUUUGUUUCCAGCUUUUGUCUACGAGGCUGAGUUCAGCCCGGAUGGAAGGGAGCAAGGGAGCCGGCUGGAUUCAAACUCGGGACCGUUCACCCCGGCGUCCAGCGCUGACGCCACUACGCCCCCAGCCGGCCCAGGGUGCGAGGGUUGGCGGGUUAAUUAGUCGGUAUAAAUUGUGCCUAGUGCGUAGGUGGAAGAAAAAUCUGGGGAGACUGGAUGAGAAUGUGGGGAGUGUAAAAAGUGUGGAGCAGCAUCCAGCAACAAGAGCCCCCACCAUCCAGACCGGGGGUCGGCAACCUGCGGCUCCCGAGCCAUUUGUGGCUCUUUCACCUCUGUGCUGCGGCUCCCUGUGGCUUUGGGAAAUAAUUGGUCAGUAUUUAAUUAAAAUGUAUUUUAUGUUAGUUUGUUAGCUUUUGAAAUGUAAUUAUGGUGAUCUUGUACAUUUCCUGCCACAUCCGAAACGGCUCACAAUUAGCCGGCAUUCCGGCUAAGGGAGAUAGCCUACGGGGGUUUGUGAGUACGCGUCUUUUGCAGCAUCUGCGUCCAUGGGGGCUGGGUUGAGGGAGGCUUAAAAGCAAGGCUGUUUAGUUCGAAUAAAGCUAUCUUUGACUGCAGUUUACUGACACCGCUACAACGUGUUUUUAUCGCUGGCUGUCCAGACGGAAGGUGCUGAAACGCUUUGUCGCGUGUCUGGAAGAAGUGAAAACUUUCCUGGGCAGCAAAGGGCUCACCUUUCCUGAGCUGGAACAGCCAGAGUGGCUGGAAAAGCUACACUUCAUGGUAGACAUGACAGCGCACCUGAACACGCUGAACACAGCUCUUCAGGGGAAAGGACGUACAGCCCUGCACAUGUUGGAGGAUGUUUUGGCAUUCGAGCGCAAGUUGACAGUGCUUGCCAGAGAUUUACAGAAAGGCACUUUGUCUCACUUCCCCAAUUUGAGAGAGGUCAAACAAGGUCACGACAUGAUAAUUUCGGAGUAUUUACAUUCUGCAAUCAUCGCAAUGCAAACAUCGUUUGGGAAACGCUUCUGUGAGUUCAGAGAGGAAAAAAACACAUUAUCCUUCCCGGUCACUCCCUUAAGCAUCGAUCCUUCCCUACUGAAUACGACUGCAUUGGCAGGUGUGAGUCAACCUGAUCUUGAGAUGGAACUGGCCGACAUAGCCGACAAAGACAUAUGGGUGUCCAAGUUUAGACGCUUGACAGCAGACCUUGAAGAUGUUGCCCGUCAGAAGGCCGUUCUUGCUCAGAAACACAAAUGGAGUGAUAUUGAAAACCUCACAGAUGACAGCUUGCGAUCCUGUGUAAAGAUGAAGGUGACAUCAUACAGCCCUGAUGUGCAGACGCUGUGCGCUGAGGUCCAGGAGCAGAAAUCCCAUUAACCAAGAUGACAGCUGGCUGACGUUAUUUUUGGUUUGCUGCUGGCGGAAAAUUUAAGUUCGGCGUUUUUCAUAAAUACAAGAAGGUCUCAAAUAGACAUUGAAUAUUUUACUUAAAAGUAACUUUCAACCCAACGUCUUUUUUUCGGAGUUCAAAAUGUUUUUGUUGCAUGCAGAAAUGUAAUUUCGUUUUCUCUGCAGGAGUUCAUCAAUUUCAUAAAUGCAACACAUUAUAGUUUGUUUAUACAUAGCAUAAAGGCAAAAAAAAACGUUGUAUGCAGUGUUAUUUCAUUUUAAAUGUCAAACGGGUUUUGCGGCUCCCAGUGUUUUCUUUUCUGUGGGAAACGGGUCCAAGUGGCUCUUUCAGUGGUAAAGGUUGCUGACCCCUGAUCCAGACCAUGCUCACUUCUCACUGCUGCCAUCAGGAAGGAGGUGCAGAAACCUCAAAUCCCACACCACCAGGUUCAGAAACAGUGAAACACUACAACCAUCAGGCUCUGAAACAGGUGUGGAUAACUUCAGUCACCAGCACCGUGACCUGAUUCAAUAACCUACAGACUCGCUGUCAAGGAAUCUUUACAACCCAUGUUCUCAGUAUUAACUUUUUUUUUAUUUCCACAAUUUGUCUUCUUUUGCACGUUGGAUGUUUGUCAGUUUUGGGGAGAAAAAAGCACUUUUAUGUUUCUCUGUGAAUACCUGCAAGAAAAUGAAACUCAAAGUGGAAUAUGGUAACAUAUAUGUACUUUAAUAAUACAUUUACUUUGAACUUCGCAAUGGGAUUAGUGUAGGAUCGGCAUAAAUGUGUGGUUAAUGGACAGUGAGGACUUGGUAGGCCAAAGAGCCUUUCUGUGACGUAUCCCUCCGUGGCUAUAACUGGAGGGAGUAGGUUUGAGGAGAAUAAUUUGGUGAAGCGAGGGGCAUCUUUUUCGCACAGAUGGUGGUGGGUUUGUGAAGCAAACUACCAGAGGACGUGGUAGAGGAGGGUAAAAUUACAAUGUUUCAGCAGGUACAUGGAAAGGAAAUGUUUAAAGGUAUAUCGGGAUCAAAUGCAGGCAAAUGGUAGGUAGCUGAGGUAGGCAACUUGGUUGGCACUGACGAGUUGGGUUGAAGGGCCUUUUUUCCAUGCUGUAUUAGUCUAUGACUCUGUAAACAUUCAGCUCUGUGAGCUUCGUCACCAAGGUAGCCAACCUGGGGAAUAUAUAUGCACCUUUAACCACAAAGUUCCUGCUAAAAUUACAACUGAUUUAUCUGGCCUUUUAUUGCAAUGUUCCUACCUGUGUAUUAAUAAUACGUUGAAAUUUCCGCCAUAAUGGCACUCGAGAAGUGCCAUCACACCAGGGAUGGGCUGCUUAACGAAUGCCAAAGGCGACCCGGGUAGGUCACUAAACGUAUCUUGGCAUUAAUGCUCCAUCGUCAGUAGAGUAGACCAGAAUCUGUGUUAGAGAUCAGGAAAGGGUUAAUAGCUAUGGCUCAUGUGUUGUGAACCUUGCGAUUGGUUGCUCAAACCUAAAACAGCGUUCUGUUGCAUUUGCCUCAGUCUGUUCCCCCCCCCCACCCGCCCGAGACUGCUUCCUGCGUAAAGGAAAAGAGAUUCACAACGCUGACAAACUACUUCCUCGCCGCAAAUUAGUGUCAAAUGACAGAAUUUCACAAGUAAUAUCGCUGACAGUGAUUCAGCGCACAAAAGCAAAUAAAAAAAACCCCACCUUGAACACAAUCACCCAGGACUGAUUUGCAGUUGAGAUUUGAGUUGUAAUCAAUGGGAAAUUGAAUUUGUUUUGUGUGAGAUCUCUUGCCUGGCUCAGGACAAGGUGUACACUAUUUUACCUGAAAUAAAUUUCUGUCUGCAUUGAUUUUAUCAUUUAAUUAAAUUGGAUCACUACUAAAAUUAAUUGCGUUUAUUAAAUUACAUUGCAAUUUUCGUGGAUAGCUGUAGAGACCAGCCAGUCAGCUACAAGCUAAAUAUAUAUUUCCAGACUUAUUACUUUGCACAAAAACAUGGGAUUAAUUAAAAUCGAUAUUCAGAAUUUUAUUCUCUAGAUUUUCAAAUUACUCAUGGUUGGCAAAAUUAGCUUGUUCUUGGUUACUUCCCACAUAAGUCACUGAGCAAAACAUUGAUUUAAUGGCUCAAUUACAAACUCACAACCCAACCUUGCAUCUGACCUUCUGCCCCUACAGCCAAACUAUUGACAUCAUUUUACAUUGUUCUCAUUGCGUACAGAGCCAAAGACUACGACAGCACAAAAAUCAGGCCCUUCAGCCCAUCUAAUGAGCGCCAGCUCGCUCUGCCUAGUCGCAUCUACCUCCUUCAUCCAUGUAUCUUGGUGGCACGGUAGCGUAGUGACUAGCACAACGCUUUACAGUACAGGCAACCCGGGUUCCAUUCCUGCUGCUGUCUGCAAGGAGUUUGUACGUCCUCCUCGUGACUGUACGGGAUUCCUCCAGGUGUUCCAGUUUCCUACCAUCCGAAGUCAGACUGGUUGGUAGCUUAAAUGGCCAUUGAAAAUUGUCCUGUGAUUAGGCUGGGAUUAAAUCAGCGGGGUGCUGGGCAGAGCAGCUCGAAGGUCAAGAAGGAUCUGUUCUGUGCUGAAUCUCAAUAAAUAAAAAUCUUCCCUCGACUGUUGUAAUUGAACCUGCAUCCACAUCUGCUGGCUGCUUGUUCCACACUCGCACCAUCCUCUUCAGUGAAGGAAAUUCUCCUUAAAUAUUGCACCUUUCACCCUAAACAUAUCACCUCCAGUUGUAGACUCACUAAGUGGAGAAUCCCUGCAUGUAUUUACCAUAUCUGGACCCUUCUGAUUUUGUAAAAGAUCUCCAUUCAUUUUCUUACGUUCCAGUUAAUAAAGUCCAAACCCAUUUGUCCUUUCCCUAUAACUCAGGUCCUCAAGUCUCGAUAACACCCUUGCAAAUUUUCUCUUCACCCUUUCAAGCUUAUUGAUAUUUUUUUCUGUGGGUGGGUGACCAGAACUGCAAUACUACUUUCAUAUGCCACAGAAAGGGGCAACUCAGCCCAUGAGUCUCUGUCACAGAAGAUCCAUCAGUCCCACUAACCCCCCUCAAUUCCCUUCUCUCUCUCUCAUGCCCAUGAACUCUCUAACUGGAUCGUCCUCCUACCCACCUACAUCCAAGUCAACUUACAACAGCGAAUUAGCGCACCAGCCAGCAGCUCUUUAGCGGUGUAGGAAGAAACUGGAGCACUUGGUGGCCAGAGGGAGAGCGUGCAAACUCCACACAGACAGCACACCACAGGGAGAGCAUGCAAACGCCGCACAGCAGAAAGGUCAGAACAGAAUUGAAAUGACCAGAAGUUACAAAAUAAAUAAAUAACGCAAAAGAGGAACACAAGGUGGUGCUCAAGAGGGAGGAACUGCUCAGAAAUCUAAUGGCAGAAGGGAAGAAGCUGAUCUUAAAAUGUUGGGUCACGUCCUCCCUGAUGGUAGUAAUGUGAAAGGACACGUCCUGAUGGUGAGGGUCCUUAAUAAUGGAUGUCGUCCUCCUGAUCUUCUCGAGAAGAUGUUCUUGAAGAUGGAGAGGUUUGUGCCCGAGCUGGAGCUGGCAGAGUCCACAGCUCACCGCCGCCUCUUUCCAUCCUGCACACUGGACCAUACCAGUGUUGAUAUGAGUCGGAAUUCUCCCCACUGUGUAUCAGUAGAAAUCUACAUGAAUCUUUGCUGACAUAUCAAAUCUCCUCAAACUGCUAAGGAAGUGGAGCCAAAGGCCAAAUUUCUUCAUGACUCCAUCAAUGUGUUGGGCCCCGGAUAGAUCUUCCGUGAUUUUGACACCAAGUAACCUUUCUCCUGUUGACCCCUCGAAGAAGACUGGUGUGCGUUCUUCUGACCUGUCCUUCCUGAAGCCCACGGUUACCGCCAGGAGUGAGCUAGAUCAGCUGGUGGAAUGAUGUCACAACAACAACAACCUCUCACUCAGCCUCAAGACUAAGCUUCCGAUUGAGGUCUUCAGGAAGGGGAAGUCGGGAGAACUCGUACGUUGAUCCUACUCCCAACAAUUCCCCUCAAAUUCUAUCACACAUCUACACACUCGGGGAAAUAAACAGUGGCCAACUAACCUCCUAGCCCCUAUGUCUUUGGGAUGUGGGAGAAAACUGGAGAACGCAGGGAAAACUGCCACAGUCACAGGGAGAACGUGCAAACUCCACACAGACAACACCAUGGUCAAGAUUGAACCUGUGUCUCUGACACUGAGGUUCCACUAGGACUCUGCACUGGGACUAUCAUGAUAGACAGAGAUUUGGGGAUUUCUCAACACAGGGGGAUUUCAAUCCAUGGACACCCCUUCCUCAGAGGGUGCCCAUUUGUUUAGAGCCUUUGAGGACGAAGCGGAGUGCCUCAGUGGAUUGGAGAGUGCAGGAAGGAAUGGGGAUGUGGUGGGAGAUCAGUUGUGACAGAAGAACAUGCAAAACCCCCUGUUCACACCAAAGCUCUGCUUUCUCCCAAUGUGUUGACAAAGGUUUCUCCUUUGGAAGUGAUCAUUGAACUUAUUCUACAUUAGAAGAUAUUAUACAACAUUUUAUCUCAGUACUGAACAUGACUGCAACCUGCAACUACAGCCUAUGACACUUCUGAUUCCGACCUCAGUUCUGUUGGAAGCUUCUUUUUAAAUUACAAGGCUUAACCACUCUUUGACUCCCUACAAAGGAGAACUCUACUGUUCAGCUGCCGUGCAACUUGACAAAGUUUUUCCCAAACCUCCUUAGUUUGUAAUCCAAAAAUAUCAUCGGGGUAUUGUCCCCACCUCCCUAACUCAACACAUCUAUCAGAAAAGUUGUAUAUGGAGAGCCCCCAGCAUUGUCAAAAGCCCCUCCCAUCCUUCCCAGAAUCUCUUUGCCCUCCUAUCGUCAUGCUGAAGGUACCAUUGCCACCAGAACCAUCGGGGUUCUUCUCCCAAGUUGUUAAACUUCUUAACACCCCGAUGCUACUCAGCAUGUACGUGCACCAUGAAUGAAUGCCCUGUGCCCACCAUGCCCAACUCAUAGACGCACUGGUCACUUCUCAUCUUUUAUUGCUGCUGUCUCACAGAUUUAUAGAACUGCUAUUAUUAUUAUAAUAGUGUCAGUAACAUUACACUGUCUUACGCAAGUCCUCGCACUUUAUGCCAACCUGCUAGCCUUCGGGCCCUGCCACUCAGGGACUUGUUUUGUGAGUGUAUGUGCUGGGUCGUAACUUCUGUACAUGCGCUGUGUGUGG